rnacentral:rRNA from 1 species
ACGGGAGGCAGCAGUGGGGAAUAUUGGGCAAUGGGCGCAAGCCUGACCCAGCAACGCCGCGUGAAGGAAGAAGGCUUUCGGGUUGUAAACUUCUUUUAGCAGGGACGAAGGACGUGACGGUACCUGCAGAAAAAGCAACGGCUAACUACGUGCCAGCAGCCGCGGUAAUACGUAUGUUGCAAGCGUUGUCCGGAUUUACUGGGUGUAAAGGGCGUGUAGGCGGCGCUGCAAGUCAGAUGUGAAAUCCCGGGGCUUAACCCCGGAACUGCAUUUGAAACUGUAGCCCUUGAGUAUCGGAGAGGCAAGCGGAAUUCCUAGUGUAGCGGUGAAAUGCGUAGAUAUUAGGAGGAACACCAGUGGCGAAGGCGGCUUACUGGACGAUAACUGACGCUGAGGCUCGAAAGCGUGGGGAGCAAACAGGAUUAGAUACCCUGGUA